rnacentral:rRNA from 1 species
UACGGGGGGGGCAAGCGUUGUUCGGAAUUACUGGGCGUAAAGGGCUCGUAGGUGGCCAACUAAGUCAUACGUGAAAUCCCUCGGCUUAACCGGGGAACUGCGUCUGAUACUGGAUGGCUUGAGUUUGGGAGAGGGAUGCGGAAUUCCAGGUGUAGCGGUGAAAUGCGUAGAUAUCUGGAGGAACACCGGUGGCGAAGGCGGCAUCCUGGACCAACACUGACACUGAUGCGCGACAGCAUGGGGAGCAAACAGG